rnacentral:rRNA from 1 species
GAAACGACUGCUAAUACCGCAUAAGCGCACAGCUUCGCAUGAAGCAGUGUGAAAAACUCCGGUGGUACAAGAUGGACCCGCGUCUGAUUAGCUGGUUGGUGAGGUAACGGCCCACCAAGGCGACGAUCAGUAGCCGGCCUGAGAGGGUGAACGGCCACAUUGGGACUGAGACACGGCCCAAACUCCUACGGGAGGCAGCAGUGGGGAAUAUUGCACAAUGGGGGAAACCCUGAUGCAGCAACGCCGCGUGAGUGAAGAAGUAUUUCGGUAUGUAAAGCUCUAUCAGCAGGAAAGAAAAUGACGGUACCUGACUAAGAAGCCCCGGCUAACUACGUGCCAGCAGCCGCGGUAAUACGUAGGGGGCAAGCGUUAUCCGGAUUUACUGGGUGUAAAGGGAGCGUAGACGGUUUUGCAAGUCUGAAGUGAAAGCCCGGGGCUUAACCCCGGGACUGCUUUGGAAACUGUAGGACUAGAGUGCAGGAGAGGUAAGUGGAAUUCCUAGUGUAGCGGUGAAAUGCGUAGAUAUUAGGAGGAACACCAGUGGCGAAGGCGGCUUACUGGACUGUAACUGACGUUGAGGCUCGAAAGCGUGGGGAGCAAACAGGAUUAGAUACCCUGGUAGUCCACGCCGUAAACGAUGAUUACUAGGUGUUGGUGGGUAUGACCCAUCGGUGCC